GACGAACGCUGGCGGCGUGCCUAAUACAUGCAAGUAGAACGCUGAAGAGAGGAGCUUGCUCUUCUUGGAUGAGUUGCGAACGGGUGAGUAACGCGUAGGUAACCUGCCUGGUAGCGGGGGAUAACUAUUGGAAACGAUAGCUAAUACCGCAUAAAAUUGAUUAUUGCAUGAUAAUUAAUUGAAAGAUGCAAUUGCAUCACUACCAGAUGGACCUGCGUUGUAUUAGCUAGUUGGUGAGGUAACGGCUCACCAAGGCGACGAUACAUAGCCGACCUGAGAGGGUGAUCGGCCACACUGGGACUGAGACACGGCCCAGACUCCUACGGGAGGCAGCAGUAGGGAAUCUUCCGGCAAUGGGGGGA
rnacentral:rRNA from 1 species